rnacentral:rRNA from 1 species
CCUACGGGUGGCAGCAGUGGGGGAUAUUGCACAAUGGGGGGAACCCUGAUGCAGCGACGCCGCGUGGGUGAAGAAGUGCUUCGGUGUGUAAAGCCCUGUCAGCAGGGAAGAAAAUGACGGUACCUGAAGAAGAAGCCCCGGCUAACUACGUGCCAGCAGCCGCGGUAAUACGUAGGGGGCAAGCGUUAUCCGGAUUUACUGGGUGGAAAGGGGGCGCAGACGGCAGUGCAAGCCUGGAGUGAAAGCCCGGGGCCCAACCCCGGGACUGCUCUGGAAACUGCGUGGCUGGAGUGCAGGAGGGGCAGGUGGAAUUCCUGGUGUAGCGGUGAAAUGCGUAGAUAUCAGGAGGAACACCGGUGGCGAAGGCGGCCUACUGGACUGUAACUGACGUUGAGGCCCGAAAGCGUGGGGAGCAAACAGGAUUAGAUACCCUAGUAGUC